rnacentral:misc_RNA from 1 species
AAAGAAGCAAGCUCAUAGAUUGCAACUAUUCUUCAGAUAAAGAAAAUAAUGAGAUAAUCUCCUAGUUUAACAUUAAUGGGGCAGCUGGAUGGAGGAAAAAACUGAUCUAGAUGCUAGAAAGUUUCCUAGUAGUAGCUUUCACAGCAUUAUUCACUGCCUGUAGCCAUCAAGAAUUCACCCUCGCAGACUACAUCCCCUCCUACAUAUGCCUUACCUUCCAUCUUGGCAAUUCCAAAACGUUUUUGUAGCUUGAUCAGUGUCAUUCUCAUUACCAAAGUAUCUCCAGCAAUCACUGGCUUCCUGAACCUUACUUUGUCUAUACCAGCAAAGAAGAAGUUCUGUUUGGAGCCUCCAACUUCAGGUUGGAGCAUAACCAAGCCACCAACUUGGGCCAUUGCCUCAACCAUGAGGACACCAGGCAUGAUUGGCCUCUCAGGGAAGUGUCCAGGAAAGAAAUUAUCAUUGAUAGUCACAUUCUUGAUGGCCACAGCCGACACUCCUGGAUUGUAUUCAAUCACUCGAUCCACUAGAAGAAACGGAAAACGAUGGGGCAAAACCUCGCGAAUCUGAUUGAUAUCCAUCACAGUAGGAAAUGCUGGGUACCUCAAUUCAAUUGGGGUUUCAAUUUUGGAAUCAUUGUCUGGAGCAGCACAGUUGGUGAUGACACUAUUCCGUAUCUUCUUGCAAUGGGUGGAUAAUGAGUGAGAUCUGAAGGUAACAAGAGAUUGUUUGACCAUAGAUGAGGGCAAUGGAAAAGAGGCAUUCUCAAAUCUUUGAGAAGUGGGAGUGGAGAAGACAGAUUGGGAUAGAGCCAUAGAAGCCAUUGAAGAAAAAAAAAGGUUUUUUGGAGAAGAAGAAAGAAUUGGGAGCGACAAAAACGAAGUGUUUUGGGGAGAUUUGAAGGAGAAGAAUGGAGUGGAGGCGGAGAUAACAACGUUGAUGAGACUCG